GGGGGAUAUUGCGCAAUGGGGGAAACCCUGACGCAGCAACGCCGCGUGAAGGAAGAAGGCCUUCGGGUCGUAAACUUUUGUCUUCUGGGACGAAACAUGACGGUACCAGAGGAGGAAGCCACGGCUAACUACGUGCCAGCAGCCGCGGUAAUACGUAGGUGGCGAGCGUUGUCCGGAAUUACUGGGUGUAAAGGGCGCGUAGGCGGGACUGCAAGUCAGAUGUGAAAUACCGGGGCUCAACCCCGGGGCUGCAUUUGAAACUGUAGUUCUUGAGUGCAGGAGAGGAAAGCGGAAUUCCUAGUGUAGCGGUGAAAUGCGUAGAGAUUAGGAGGAACACCAGUGGCGAAGGCGGCUUUCUGGACUGUAACUGACGCUGAGGCGCGAAAGCGUGGGGAGCGAAC
rnacentral:rRNA from 1 species